GUCAAGGUGGCAGAACUCGGUAAUUGUUAAAGACCUAAGCUCUUUCAACAGAGGUUCAAAUCCUCUCCUCGACU
rnacentral:tRNA from 1 species